GGAAGAGGCUCAAAGGAUUCAGACACAGCACACACACGACAUGAAUGGGACCCAGGGAAUAGAUGGAUUCUUUACCAGCUGAAUCACAAGAGAGUUUUCAGAGGCCCUCCUUGAUUCCAACCACGCCUCGGCCACAGCUUCAAAUGGGCACACCUGAUCUUGUCAUUCCUGGUAACUUCAACCUCCCACCUCCUGAUCCUCCUAUUCCUCCAGCUCAGGUUCCUCAGAUGCCCUGGACACAACCUGCAUGCUGGCUACUGAUUAUGAUUACAUUCCUCAUUGGGCCUUCUCCUCCUUUUCAACUCUUAUUUGGUGCCUGCUCCACCAGGAUCCCUGGGGUAGACCCACAAGGCUCAUGGAGUCACUCUAGCUCUGUCUUCUACUGGGGGCCCUUCCAAUCCCAGCCAUGAAGGGUAGGACACCCCCCUUGGCUCUGGCCUCCUGCAGUGAGCAGUGUGCAUACAACCCAUGAGCAGGUGGAAAAUCACCUGGCUGGUGAUAGAGAUCUUCUCUUCCUCACUCCUUCCAGGUCAACCAAGAUCAAGCUCUGAUGCUCAGCUGUUGUUCUUCACUAAAUUUUUUUUUUACAUUUUACGUCCUUUAUGGAAAAGAGUCUUAAAGCUGAAUUUCUGUAGCCAGGAUAGGCUGUUCAGUUCUGUAAUGUGACUGGAAGGCAGGUUUGAAACGUGAGGUCUGUGGACCCCCAGUAGUUUCCUGGACAGAAUUCAGGAAGCCUGUGAACCGAAAUGGGAAAAGGAUUACAUCUUGAUUUUCACAAACCUCUAACUGAAAUUUGGCAUUUCCUUUAUUAUGAACGUAGGUAGCAAGCCAUGGUAACGAGCAGUACCUAUGGAUUUGUCACAUAGAAUCAGAUAUUGUAUAUCACCUUACAGUCAUUGCAAUAUCUUGAAAUAUCAUUUAUACUCAGAAGACUUUAAGAUUGGAAUCAUUAUUAGACUACCAUUAUUUAGUAUUUUUACUGAAAAGUAUAUGUAUUAUUUUAUCACAAUUUUAGUUAUUGCAUUUUAAUACAAUUUAUGUCCUUUGUUCCAAUGUCUUUUAUGUCCUACAUGUACGGUGCAUUUGUGCAUUAUUCUGAGAAGGGGGUUCAUAGAAUUCACCAGAUUGCCAAAGGGGCUCAGGACAAAAAAAAACACAAAAAAUAUCUCUGAACUCUGGGGAGAGUCCAGGCACAAGGAUAUUUCUGGAAGAAAUUCUGCUUUCUGUAGGGAAAGCAAAAAUUGUUUGCUUUCAACAAGCAUCCGUUUAUGCAAAGAGACCUCCGCAUUGUAAGGAAGAAGGCCUGAGAGUUCCAGGCAGUGGUAUUUCUAUGCGGCUGUGACAAGCCUCUCCUUCCAUGUACCUGGACCACCCGCUCUGUUAACCAGUCCUUCAGUUCGCUCAGCCUGUGCCGUCACAGUCCCACUGUAUGUCUUUGACAUCUUGUCACUUGGCUGACAUGUGUCUGUUUGUUCAUUACACAUUCCCUUCAAGGUUCUGUCAUGUUUUGGUCUCAUGCCAGACAUGGUGGGUCACACGCCUCUCUUAUGUCACCUGUAUGUCCAUGUAUGAAUUUCACAUAUUAGUUACCCGUCCAUUGGGUAACAGUUCCUUCAUAGGUCAGCAUGUGUUUGACAUGUAGCUAUCAGGGUAACUCAUUCAACGUUCAACUGAAAAUUAUUACUCAACAUAUAGGGCUUCCCUUGUGGCUCAGCUGAUAAAGAAUCUGCCUGCAGUGUGGGAGACCUGGGUUCAAUCCCUGGGUUGGAAAGAUCCCCUGGAGAAGGGAAAGGCUACCCACUCCAGUAUUCUGGCCUAGAGAAUUCCAAAGACAUAUAACAAAAAUAGCAGAGUAGUAGGCAUAUAAAUAAAUAGCAUGAUGCAUAAUUAAUUACAUAGCGUGCUAGAGAGUGAUGCGUGCUGUGGAAAAAAGACAAGGUGAGGGGGAAGGGUGUGGGGGGGCAGAGUGGAUACGGCUGUAACUUGGGAGGCCAGGGUGGCUGCUUGAAGAGUUAUUUGAGCAAAGACUUGAAGGAGGCAAUUAAGUGAACUUUACUGAUAUCAAGGAAAUACCUAAAGAGAGGGAACAAGAGGUGCCAAAGCCCCGAGGUAGGGGCAGGUCUGGAGUGUUGGAGGAACAUUGACUAGGCCAGGGUGGCUUCGUGGAGGGAAUCAUCAGAAAAUAAAAGGACUCUGGAAUUCCCUGGCAGUCCAGAGGUUUGAACUCUGCAUUCCCAAUGCAAGAAGCACAAGUUUGAUCCCUGGCUGGGAAGCUAAGAUCUCGUAUGCUGCACAAAAAGGCCAAAAAAAAAAAAAAGAGAGAGAGAGGAAAGCAAGACUGAACUAGUUUCUCAAUCUCAGUGAAUUCAAAGUUUUGCUACUACCUUCACCUUUGAUGCGGUUUAGCACACGCAUCAUCUGUGACAUAAGGUCUGGGCCAGCUGUCCCAGCAACAUGGCCCGUUGUCAUCCCAGUUCACUUUACUACAUUUUGAUGGAUUUAACCUCAAGGAAACAAACAAACCCUUCUCUCUGUAAAUGGGGAAAGAAAAUGAAAAUGGGCCAGAAAAUGAAAAUUGUGUCACCCAAGAGACGCAUGGGUUUCCCAGGUGGCACUAGUAGUAAAGAAUCCCCCUGCCGGUGCGGGAGACAUAAGAGAUGUGGGUUCGAUCCCUGGAUCGGGAAAAUCCCCUGGAGGAGGGCAUGGCAACCUACUCUAGUAUUCUUGCCUGGAGAAUGCCAUGGACAGAGGAGCCUGGUGGGCUAUGGUCCAUGGGGUCGCAAAGAGUUGGACACAACUGAAGCGACUUAGCAUGCACGCGCAAGGGACACAUAGGGUUUUAUGAGAAGGGUCUCAGUUCUGCCACUUAAUAAGCUGAGGGGCAGUGGUCCCCAUCCUGACGUCACUGAAUCUGCUUCCACAUAUGUAAAAUGAGGUGAUAACCCCCCCAAUUAUGAGGCCAGAAUGCAAAAAUAAACCCCUGCCCCCAGCCCCAGCCUGGCAUUCAGGCCAGCUCAGCACGUGUCCACACCCUCCUCUGCAGGUCCUCAACGACAUGCAGAUCAGGUGCCAGGUAAGAUCUCGGCAGGGCUUCUAUUUUUAAUCCUGAAUUCUUCCACUUAGAAUAAUACUUGAUAUCUUCCUGCGGAAAAAAAAAAAAGCUGGAGCCUAACCCUAAACAAAUAAAACACGUGAAUUAGAACUGGCACAGUUCUCCUUGUAACCGAGAGGACGAGGGCAAAUGCCCACUUGACUCCCUCAGUUGCCGGCCGCUGCCCUCUGGGACUCCUUGUCCUCUGCUGCCAUCACCUGGAAGAAAGAGGGACUGCAGGGACAUGAAGGGACAGACACUCAGAGAUGGCAACAUUAGGGACCCUUCAUGAUGGUGUGCCUAAGACACCAGCAGUGCAUCUCACAUGAAGAGGGGUAUGAUGUCGCUUGAAAAGUUAGUCUCUAGGCCAGUUUCAUCACCCAGAGAGGGCUCAGGGUGAAGAGAGGAAGUUC